rnacentral:rRNA from 1 species
GGGAGUGAAAAAGAACCUGAAACCGUGUACGUACAAGCAGUGGGAGCACAGGUUUACCUGUGUGACUGCGUACCUUUUGUAUAAUGGGUCAGCGACUUAUAUUCUGUAGCAAGGUUAACCGAAUAGGGGAGCCGGAGGGAAACCGAGUCUUAAUUGGGCGUUAAGUUGCAGGGUAUAGACCCGAAACCCGGUGAUCUAGCCAUGGGCAGGUUGAAGGUUGGGUAACACUAACUGGAGGACCGAACCGACUAAUGUUGAAAAAUUAGCGGAUGACCUGUGGCUGGGGGUGAAAGGCCAAUCAAACCGGGAGAUAGCUGGUUCUCCCCGAAAGCUAUUUAGGUAGCGCCUCGUGAAUUCAUCUCCGGGGGUAGAGCACUGUUUCGGCUAGGGGGCCAUCCCGGCUUACCAACCCGAUGCAAACUGCGAAUACCGGAGAAUGUUAUCACGGGAGACACACGGCGGGUGCUAACGUCCGUCGUGAAGAGGGAAACAACCCAGACCGCCAGCUAAGGUCCCAAAGUCAUGGUUAAGUGGGAAACGAUGUGGGAAGGCCCAGACAGCCAGGAUGUUGGCUUAGAAGCAGCCAUCAUUUAAAGAAAGCGUAAUAGCUCACUGGUCGAGUCGGCCUGCGCGGAAGAUGUAACGGGGCUAAACCAU